UACGUAGGUGGCAAGCGUUGUCCGGAUUUAUUGGGUUUAAAGGGUGCGUAGGCGGUCUUUUAAGUCAGUGGUGAAAUACGGCAGCUCAACUGUCGAGGUGCCAUUGAUACUGGGAGACUUGAGUACUGAUGAGGUAGGCGGAAUGGACGGUGUAGCGGUGAAAUGCUUAGAUAUCGUCCAGAACACCGAUAGCGAAGGCAGCUUACUAAGGAGUAACUGACGCUGAUGCACGAAAGCGUGGGGAUCGAACAGG
rnacentral:rRNA from 1 species